rnacentral:rRNA from 1 species
UACGUAGGGUGCAAGCGUUAAUCGGAAUUACUGGGCGUAAAGCGUGCGCAGGCGGUUUUGUAAGUCUGUCGUGAAAGCCCCGGGCUUAACCUGGGAAUUGGGAUGGAGACUGCAAGGCUUGAAUCUGGCAGAGGGGGGUAGAAUUCCACGUGUAGCAGUGAAAUGCGUAGAGAUGUGGAGGAACACCGAUGGCGAAGGCAGCCCCCUGGGUCAAGAUUGACGCUCAUGCACGAAAGCGUGGGGAGCAAACAGG